GUCCAGGGUAGCCUAGUGGUCAUGGCAUCUGCCCGGUAAGCGGAAGGUCGUGGGUUCGAUUCCAUCCCUUGACA